GUGCUGCCGGACCUACUGCUGACCCCUCGGACGGGGAUGGUGGCGCCAUGAGGAGGGAGGAGAGCCGUGAUCCAAACAGGGCAGUCAUGGCCUGAAGACACAAGGUCACUGUCAUGCUGUAAAACCCAUCCGUGACCCAUCUUCAAGGAGGUUUGGACAGCGCAAGCCUCCGAGUCCGCCUCCAAGCUGGAUUGUGAGGAUGGAGUUCUUCGGCAUGCAUUUUCUCAUCCUCCAAACACCGCAGGCGUGGUUGAUGCCAAAUGCAUCACUUGGGUUUCAUCUGACCACAGCAACAGUCUUCAAGUCAUUUAGAUGUUUGUUGGCAAACUUAAGUGGGCCCAAGGUGGCGCCUUAAGUCUAUUAAGGCGCCACAGUACUUGCAGUUUUCUUAGUUAAGGAGGUCCCACUUGCCUUCAGAUGCUAUUUCAGCGUGCUUGCUUCUCGUCUCUCCGCGAGGCAAAAUUUUGUUUAUCAUAUAUUCUUUCUUAUGCUCCCCCGCUCCCGGGAA